AAAAAGAUAAGCUAAAUAAGCUACCGGGCUCAUACCUCGUUUAUGAAUAAACUCUCUUUUGA
rnacentral:tRNA from 7 species